rnacentral:lncRNA from 1 species
GGGCUGCCCUCCCUUGGUUUCCAUGGCAACCAAGGCCUGCGCAAAGACCCUCCCCUCCCUCGAGGGUGGGUUUGUUGGGGGGUUUUUUGGAGGGAAAUGGCCCCCUGAGGCGAGCCUCCACCUCCACCUUCUCCACAGCCCGCUGGCCUUUGGGCCUGAACCUCCCAUGAUACACAGACACUUCUCUAGCAUCUGUUUCUGACAAUUUGAGCCAGUUGCCUUGCAAUACAGUAAAUUCAGGAUUGGAGGCAGGCAGUAGAAAUUAAUACUUUGGAAACUAAGUUGUCAUCCCUCCACCACCCCCACUAGCACGUUUGACAAGAUGCGUCUUGCUUAACUGGUGAGUCGUUCAGUGGAUUAUACAA